ACUGGUGCUCUCUAUCUGAUGCAGCCAGGUUGGCUGACUUCGCUGGACUGACAGCUGGACAGAGAGCUGGCUCGGCCUUCCUUGGUGUGGGAACUGCCUGGGAGACUCAGCAUAAAGGAGCAGAGGUGGAUCGCUCCUGCAGGCAUGUGGUUCCCAAAACAGAAAAGGGGACAGUGAGAAAACUGAGGCACAGAGAAGUUGAAAGCUGCCUAAGGUUCUGCAAUGAAUGAGUGCCACUGUCAGAAUUCCAACACAAAGGACCAGCUGCAGAGCCCAGGAUCUUAACUACUCUGCUAAUCCUUGUGGGCAAAAAUUAUGCAUAUGUAAAUGCUCUUUGCUUAAAUACAGAUGUGGAUGGAUGAACGUAUGUAGGUCAGCCUACCACCAUUUUUCCCUUUUCCUCUUGCUUUUUUUUUUCUUUACAGGAAAAUUACUUGUUUUAUUUCAUAAUAUAUUUGCAUGCUUUUCCAGCUAUAAACAUAGAGAAUUAAGUUCAUCUUUGACAAUAGUUGUCUCAUAAUUCAUGGUCAAAUAUGCUAUAUUUAGCCAUUUCAUUACUCACAGGCAUUUAGAUUCUUUCCAUUUGUUUUCUCUUGAAAUCAAUGCUGCAAUAAAC
rnacentral:lncRNA from 1 species